UUCUGUAAGCCUGUGAAGGUGAGUUGAGAAGCUUGCUGGAGGUAUCAGAAGUGCGAAUGCUGACAUGAGUAACGACAAUGGGUGUGAAAAACACCCACGCCGAAAGACCAAGGGUUCCUGCGCAACGUUAAUCGACGCAGGGUUAGUCGGUUCCUAAGGCGAGGCUGAAAAGCGUAGUCGAUGGGAAACAGGUUAAUAUUCCUGUACUUCUGGUUACUGCGAUGGAGGGACGGAGAAGGCUAGGCCAGCUUGGCGUUGGUUGUCCAAGUUUAAGGUGGUAGGCUGAAAUCUUAGGUAAAUCCGGGGUUUCAAGGCCGAGAGCUGAUGACGAGUCGUCUUUUAGAUGACGAAGUGGUUGAUGCCAUGCUUCCAAGAAAAGCUUCUAAGCUUCAGGUAACCAGGAACCGUACCCCAAACCGACACAGGUGGUCGGGUAGAGAAUACCAAGGCGCUUGAGAGAACUCGGGUGAAGGAACUAGGCAAAAUGGCACCGUAACUUCGGGAGAAGGUGCGCCGGCUAGGGUGAAGGAUUUACUCCGUAAGCUCUGGCUGGUCGAAGAUACCAGGCCGCUGCGACUGUUUAUUAAAAACACAGCACUCUGCAAACACGAAAGUGGACGUAUAGGGUGUGACGCCUGCCCGGUGCCGGAAGGUUAAUUGAUGGGGUUAGCGCAAGCGAAGCUCUUGAUCGAAGCCCCGGUAAACGGCGGCCGUAACUAUAACGGUCCUAAGGUAGCGAAAUUCCUUGUCGGGUAAGUUCCGACCUGCACGAAUGGCGUAACGAUGGCGGCGCUGUCUCCACCCGAGACUCAGUGAAAUUGAAAUCGCUGUGAAGAUGCAGUGUAUCCGCGGCUAGACGGAAAGACCCCGUGAACCUUUACUGUAGCUUUGCACUGGACUUUGAGCCUGCUUGUGUAGGAUAGGUGGGAGGCUUUGAAGCGUGGACGCCAGUUCGCGUGGAGCCAUCCUUGAAAUACCACCCUGGCAUGCUUGAGGUUCUAACUCUGGUCCGUGAUCCGGAUCGAGGACAGUGUAUGGUGGGCAGUUUGACUGGGGCGGUCUCCUCCUAAAGAGUAACGGAGGAGUACGAAGGUGCGCUCAGACCGGUCGGAAAUCGGUCGCAGAGUAUAAAGGCAAAAGCGCGCUUGACUGCGAGACAGACACGUCGAGCAGGUACGAAAGUAGGUCUUAGUGAUCCGGUGGUUCUGUAUGGAAGGGCCAUCGCUCAACGGAUAAAAGGUACUCCGGGGAUAACAGGCUGAUACCGCCCAAGAGUUCAUAUCGACGGCGGUGUUUGGCACCUCGAUGUCGGCUCAUCACAUCCUGGGGCUGAAGCCGGUCCCAAGGGUAUGGCUGUUCGCCAUUUAAAGUGGUACGCGAGCUGGGUUUAGAACGUCGUGAGACAGUUCGGUCUCUAUCUGCCGUGGACGUUUGAGAUUUGAGAGGGGCUGCUCCUAGUACGAGAGGACCGGAGUGGACGAACCUCUGGUGUUCCGGUUGUCACGCCAGUGGCAUUGCCGGGUAGCUAUGUUCGGAAAAGAUAACCGCUGAAAGCAUCUAAGCGGGAAACUUGCCUCAAGAUGAGAUCUCACUGGGAACUUGAUUCCCCUGAAGGGCCGUCGAAGACUACGACGUUGAUAGGCUGGGUGUGUAAGCGUUGUGAGGCGUUGAGCUAACCAGUACUAAUUGCCCGUGAGGCUUGACCAU
rnacentral:rRNA from 1 species